AUGAAAUCUGAAAGUGCAAGAGGCAGCCCCCUUCCAGUGUGUGAACGUCUUGUAAAAGUUUCCUUUGAAACAACUGUGAUGAGUCAGUUCGCUAUGUUUGCAAGAAAAAAGAAAGUGCUAGCCAUGCAUAUACUGUGGCUCUUCUUUAAGGUAGCCAUUGCGGGAAAAACAAACCAAGACCAAAAAAACCCAACGCUACCAGCAAAAUUCAUUUUGUUUCUGCUCAGACAUUGGAUGGAAGGACUAAAUUACCAAGCACAGGCACACAUUAUACAGACAGUGAUUAUCCGUGGCCAGUGUUUACAGCGUCUCAUGGAAAGGAUGGAUGUAGAGAGUCGAGCCUAUACAAUGUGGUUUUGAUCAAGGGUGUUUACAGGAAAGGUGGAACGCUUCUCCUUACUUUUCUCUGUCCCACAGUUCUGCAUUCACCUGUACCCCAGGUACUUUUUAACCAGUCUCUCCUCUUGAGUCAAGUUCUAUCCUCACUAAUUAUAUAACACACGGGCCAUCACACAGAGCAUGAUAUGCUUAGAGUGUCGAAGGGACUCACUCACUUGUUAUUGUUAAGCUUAAUAUUAGCACCUUUGACUUCCCAGUGAAAUAUUUUGGGGCAUGUCUCAAAACUGGUGCAUGACAAUAGGCAAAUCACUUAGGGCCAGAUGUGCAAAAGUAUUUAGGCACCUUGAGAUGCAGAUGGUAGAAUUUAUAAAAGCGCCUACGCAGGUUAGGUGCUUAACUCCCAUUGAAAGUCGAUGAGAGUUUGGUGUCUAACAAACACCCUUCAAAUGUUUUUGCCCAAGCAGAAUUGUGUCCAAAUGUCCAUUUUGGAACCUGUGGGGUGGUUAGGACACUCACCUGGGAUGUGGCAGACCCACAUUCAACUCCAUGCUCUGCCUGAUUCAGAGAAAGUUUUUAAUCGCAGAUCACACUCAUUCAGGCAGACCAGGGACAUGAACCUGGGUUUUCCCCAUCAUUAGCAGUGUCCAAGCCACCAGGAUACAGGAGGGGAGUCUGAGCUCUCCUUGAAACGGAUAUGUAUCCACAAAACACUGGUGAAAUUUCAUUUUGCCAAAAAUAUUCCAACCAGCUUUAGUCUCACUAUCAGUUAGGGCUUCUAGGCUUUAAUGUAAUACUUCUACUAAUAAAUAACAGUAACAAACAGCA
rnacentral:lncRNA from 1 species